UACGAAGGGGGCGAGCGUUGUUCGGAAUUACUGGGCGUAAAGGGCGCGUAGGCGGCCGAUCAAGUCAGAUGUGAAAGUCCUGGGCUUAACCUGGGGACUGCAUUUGAUACUGAUUGGCUUGAAUUCGGGAGAGGAUAGCGGAAUUCCCAGUGUAGAGGUGAAAUUCGUAGAUAUUGGGAAGAACACCGGUGGCGAAGGCGGCUAUCUGGACCGACAUUGACGCUGAGGCGCGAAAGCGCGGGGAGCGAACGGG
rnacentral:rRNA from 1 species